AGCCAGUCAAAACAGAGCUUAUUGAAUCAAUGGCAGUUCAAAUAGCUGCUAUCAAUGGUUGUGAGUAUAAUGCUUCAUCACUGACCAACUGAUAGAUCAGAGGAUCCAUUGUGCUCUUUAAUCAUAUUCUUCAUUUAAUUUCCAUAAUCCAUUCACAUAACAGAAACCAUUAAAACAAAGCUGUUCACAUCACUCACCCAGCGCUGAAACAGGAAGUUUACUGUGGGGUACUCAGCACUAUUUAAAUCCAAAAACCGAUUGCCAACCAAAUGAGGCAUCCAUUCAUAAUCCAUCUCAGAGCAUCACAUUUCACAAUAUAUCAUGGGCAAUGGAACAUCUAGGCCUCUGAUGACCCAGCACUCAAGAAAAAAUAUUAGGAGAAAUGAAAAGCUCACUGAGGAUGACCCAAAGGACAAAGUUCCUUUUGCAGACACCUUACGGAAAGACAAACAUUCAAAAGUACGGUCCAAGAAAGACUACAGUAUGGCAAAACUAAAUCUCGCAAGAGGCAAUCGCAUCAGUUACUGCCAUCUAUCAUCAGCACUGGAGUCUAAGCAGGAACAAUUUUCAGUGAAGAAUUGGGAAAUGUACAAUCCUGCCUUUGUAGAGGAGAAAAAUCCACAAAGUUAAAAGACCAGUUUAUAUACUGACACCUAGUGUAAAAUGUCAGGACCUCUUAAAAAUUGAGGUGGAUUUGAUUUGUAACAGUCUGUUUUGGAAAUAUUCAGAAAACUGUUCCAUUCAAAUAUUUAAAUAAUUUUUGAGUAGUUCCUGCUUGUCUUUAAAAAGGACCCUUCCCUCAUUCAUUGUCAGUGGAAGCCAUACAUUUUGAUAAAUGAUCAAUUGUACCCUAUUUCUGAAAACAUGUCCAAAUCUGCAUUUCAAAUAUGUAUUUGUUAUAUCUGAAUAAUAGCCAUCUUUGGAAAAAUAAUCUCCAACACUACUGUGAUUUAAAAACUGAUCUUAAAUUCUCAAAGAUGAGGUAUGAUUUUGGUGGAUUUUUAAAUAAAAAUUACAACUUGAAACAAA